GAGAUACUCUAAUACUCGAGAAACAAAAGACCAGGCCAAGAGAGCAAAAUUUCAACAAACUCAGAAUCAAACUUAUUGAACAAGAACUCUAACCAUCGCCUCAUAUCAGUAUCAGCAUGCGUUGACACAUCCAAUCUAAGCAGACUUAAUAACCAGAGAGCACAUUGGAAGAAAAAAAAAAAAAGGAUAACACUUCCAUGAUGGUUCCAAAACCGCCCACAUGUAGAGUCAACAAACACACCACGAUGGCAUAUUCACCUUAGUUGGAAGUGAAUUCACACAUGCUUGCCAUACCAAGUGCUUUAUCUUGGCAGGAGAGUUUUUCCCAAAGAUCUCCAACCAUAUUUGAAAAUGAUGCUCCAUUCUCCAAUCUGGUAGAGAAUUUCCUCUAAUAUGCAAGAUGGUAAGCUGACCGCACAGAAAACAGGCCAUCCUUUUAGGGCUUCCAGAAUAUUAGUUUCACAUCUUGUGCUCAACCGGAUAGAUACCCUCAAUGCCAGAUUACUGCAUGUUCUGAAGAUCAAUGUCAUAAACUAUACACACAAGAUGAUCAAGUGAAACUUGAUGGCUAGUACAGGUAAGAAAAGCCAAUCCAAGCAAGAUCCAAUUGUUGUGGGGCUGCAUCUAUUGAGCUCAUGUUUGCAUCUUGUAUAAAUUGCACUAGCAGAAAUAAUCUUGAAAAUUUUGAACUCUUCAUUCAUGGAAGCAAACAAAUUGCGGCAUUACAAUUCGAUGAUUUCUUAACAAUGAACUAUGUUAGCAAAUUAACAGAUCAACUUUACUUCUAUCUCUUGCCAAGUAUUUUCUUCGUUUCUUCAUCUUCAUCUAUUUUAUCAGUUUUCAUGCAGUCCAAAAGUCCACAAAUAUCUUUGCCACUUCUUAUAUUUGCCUUCAAUGAAGCAUGAUACAUUUGUCUGUUCAUUGGAAUGAUAACUCUCAAACAGGCCACAAAAGCUUCUACAUCUUCAGCACUACCUUCAUCACCAAGCCAACUUAAAAUGUCUGUGAUCACCCGAGGGUUUGGCUUCCAUCCCUUGUUCUUCACAUGCAAGGAAAACGCAGCCUUCAUACAUUCAAAAGCUUUUUCCACCUCACCUUUUUCAACGUAUCCUGAAGCAACAAUGGCCCAACUAUUUGGGGUGGUAACUUUUCCUUUCUCCAUCAAUUCUUCAAGUAAUGUUUCUGCUUUCUCAUAAUAUCCUUUUCUAGAAUACCCAAUAAUAACAGUAUUUGGUACCCGAACAUCAUAAAAGUUGCCAGAUGAUUCCCACUCUUUCAAUAUUUUCUCAGCUUCUUCAAGCUCACCAAGUUUUACCAAAGAUUCCAGCAUGGUGAUGAAAUCUCUGUUUAUGUGCCUCUUACAUGCACUUUUCUCCAGAUCCCAUAAUCUCAAAACCUCAACCUUAUCCCCUAAAGUCGCAUAGAGUGAUAUCAGAUGGUUAUAACCAAUUCCAUCUUUCUUAUCUAACUUCUCUUCUGAUUUUUUAAGAGCAUAAAUUGCCUUAUCAGAAAGUCCAGCUUUUAUGUAAAAAUUGGCAACAACAGCAUAUGUGUUCCAGUCCAUGGCAAUCCCCAGUUGGCAUUCCAUCUCAUUCAAAACUCUCUCCAUUCCCUCAAUGUCAGAUCUAGCACCAUAUGAAUUGAGGCAGAUUCGGUAGCUGAAGUUGUCAGGAGAUACCUUGUUCUCCCUCAUCUCAGUUAGCACAUGAGGAACCUUCUCAUAGAGGCCAACAUUUGUGUAGAGACACAUAAUGUCAUUGUAAGCAAGAGGUGAUGAGGCAAAACCCAUCUCCUUCAUUUUCUGUAAAUGUGAGAUGGACUUGUCAACUUGACGCUGCCUACAAUAACAAUUUAGAAGAGCACCAUAUGUCUUAUCAGUUAAAUCAUGGUCCCUCAAGCUAUUGAAAUAGUUCUCAGCUGAAAGAAACCCAUGGACUCUACCAAUCAAAUCCAAUUGAACAGCAUGUUCAACCGGAGAGAAUAUGCAAAUGCCUCUUUUGUUCAUCCAGUCAGACACCUGCACCCCUCAAGGGCUUGACCGAACCGGUUUCGUCGACGCAGGUCGCGAAUGAUGCGCUGAAGCUCGCCAACUCGAACCUUGUUCCCAUGUUGGACCCAAUUUUCGAGCUCAGGCACCAAACUAAUGCUGGGGUCUCCUAAAGGACUGAUUUUUGAGUACAAGGUCACCCUUUUAGUCGUGUGGUAGGAUCUGCUAAACAUUGCAUAUGGACAUUGGAUUAGGGUUUUAAACGGUACCCUCAAGCUCAUGUUUAGAUUCUGGUAGAGAACUGAAGAAGACGCAAGAUGGAUUUUGCAGGGUACAGGGUUU
rnacentral:misc_RNA from 1 species